rnacentral:rRNA from 1 species
CGAGCGGGCCCUUCGGGGUCAGCGGCGGACGGGUGAGUAACGCGUGGGAACGUGCCUUCUGGUUCGGAAUAACCCUGGGAAACUAGGGCUAAUACCGGAUACGCCCUUUUGGGGAAAGGUUUACUGCCGGAAGAUCGGCCCGCGUCUGAUUAGCUAGUUGGUGGGGUAACGGCCUACCAAGGCGACGAUCAGUAGCUGGUCUGAGAGGAUGAUCAGCCACACUGGGACUGAGACACGGCCCAGACUCCUACGGGAGGCAGCAGUGGGGAAUAUUGGACAAUGGGCGCAAGCCUGAUCCAGCCAUGCCGCGUGAGUGAUGAAGGCCUUAGGGUUGUAAAGCUCUUUUAUCCGGGACGAUGAUGACGGUACCGGAGGAAUAAGCCCCGGCUAACUUCGUGCCAGCAGCCGCGGUAAUACGAAGGGGGCUAGCGUUGCUCGGAAUCACUGGGCGUAAAGGGCGCGUAGGCGGCGUUUUAAGUCGGGGGUGAAAGCCUGUGGCUCAACCACAGAAUGGCCUUCGAUACUGGGACGCUUGAGUAUGGUAGAGGUUGGUGGAACUGCGAGUGUAGAGGUGAAAUUCGUAGAUAUUCGCAAGA